rnacentral:lncRNA from 1 species
GAUACCGGACUUGGUGGAGAAGGAUGGUAUGAAUGUGUUUCUAGGUGGCUGCCUGGACAAGGGAGUUCAGCCUUUGGGAGAUAAAGCAGAAUAUAAAGGGUCUCACUCUGUCACCCAGGCUGGAGUGCAGUGGCGCAAUCUCAGCUCACUGUAGACUCAACCUCCUGGGCUCAAGCGAUUCUCCCACCUCAGCCUUCUGACUUUGCCUCGGGAGAGAUAAAGAGAGUCGAUUCCGAGUACAGCUGGGCCACUGGGACUGCAUUCCUGCCUGUGAGGAGGAGAGCCUGUCAAUGAGCCAGAAGGGGCUAACAGAGGUUGUACUUACAGGUUCUCAAGUUUUGCUAUCAUAAACACCCAAAGUACACCACGCCUGCAAGCUGAAGGCUGACAGGAUAGAAAACUUGCACAAGACAGUUAACAUUGUAG